AAAUAGCCCUGAUUGCAGUGAAAAGCUUUUUUGAAAAAAAUGUAGUUUUUGUGUUUUUAUGAAGCGACCAACGGAAGCUUUAUAAAAAUAAUACAAAAACCCAUUUUUGAGAAAAACUUGUAACGAAAAGCAGGAAUAGCU
rnacentral:sRNA from 1 species